rnacentral:lncRNA from 1 species
GUACACGCCAAUUCCAUUUCGCCGGACUGAAAGAGCCAUCAAUCACUAUGAUCUCUUUCUUAGAAAAGAAAUUGCGUAAAUUCUGCCUUUUUUGAUCCCAUGCUUUCCGUUGGUCAACAACCAACUAAAUCUAUACUUCUUCACUACUCGUACAGGGAAGGUGGAAGAAAUUCAGUCUCUUUUUUUUAGGGGGAGCAGAGCAGUCAAAGAAUGAACCAAACCAAAUGAUUGUUCUAGAAUGGCUAUUCCUCACAAUUGCACCCUGUGAUGCAGCGGAACCAUGGCAAUUAGGAUCUCAAGACGCAGCAACACCUAUAAUGCAAGGAAUAACAAACUUACAUCGCGAUGUCUUUUUCUUCGUUAUUCUGAUUUUUGUUUUCGUAUCAUGGAUCUUGGGUCGCGCUUUAUGGCAUUUCUACUAUAAAAAAAAACCAAUCCCGCAAAGUAUUGUUCAUGGAACUACUAUCGAGAUUCUUCAGACCAUAUUUCCUAGUAUCAUCCCUAUGUUCAUUGCUAUACCAUCAUUUUCUCUGUUAUACUCAAUGGACGAGGUAGUAGUAGAUCCAGCCAUUACUAUAAAAGCUAUUGGAAAUCAAUGGUAUCGGAGUGCGCCUCUUCACGAGGGUGAUUAAAGUGCAACGAAAUGCCUUAAAGUUGAAUAGGGUUCGCGAAGCAUCUAGCUUACCGGUAAUCUCCCAUUCCCGCUGUCGAGAGACUUUAAUAACUAUAGCAUGCCAGAAACGGGGAGUUGAGGUGGUUAGACCUAUACCCCGAAAUGCUCCCACCAUAGGAGCCUAUGGUUCCAUUCUUAUUGGUGCUGGAGGUACACAUCCCUCUUCUCGGUGUGGAACGAUAUACGAGAAAUAGAUGCUCAUCCUGCAAUGUCCGAUAACGGCGCUGAAGUAGUGAAUCUAUCGGCACCAUAGCAGUGGUAUACAACUUUGGACCUAACGGUCGGCCUAGUAACCUUUCAGAAUGGGGGAUCCCCGUUGGCAACAACCACGGUAGUAGUUGCGGAACUACUGGGCCGGGAGAGGAGCGGAAAGCCACUUGACUGUAAGGAGAGGACAACAUCUUAUUCCUGCUUCUCUUUCUUCGCUUCGGGGACAGAGGUCCUACGGUAGGUAACAGCAGGUACAAGCAAGUUGAUCGAAGGGGACCAGCGCUUCUACUCCUCCACCGAGGAGCCGUUCCUGCGAGAAGCAAGGGAUGUCGUGAACGGUGAGAGGUCACAGAGAAUUGACCUAUUCAUAGAGUGAUCCUAUGAUCGAUAAAGGAUAUAGACUAUCUCAUUCUUUAUUCUAUUCUAUUUCUGGAAAAAAAAAAGGGUGACUCAACUUCUUAGCUAGAGUUGGUGGUGGGACCUGUUGGCAUAAUGCACGCUGGAACGUGGGAAUUCGAGGUCUCAUGAACUACUACUGAAAACGAACCUUGUUUUUGUUUUGUUUGUGGACAAACAAUAUCUGGUCAGGCCUAUGGCUGGAUCCUUUUAGAUCUACGGGCCGGCCGGCCCCGGCCGUUUACAUGAGCAUAGGGAAUCUAUACUCGAGCGUUCCACUGGGCCCCUGACAGGAUAGGUGAGGAAUCACCCUAGAUCUUCUUUUUUUGGGCUACAAAUUCACCGAGCCGACUAGCAUCCCUUUCCACUGUGUAUUUUUUGAACAAAGAAGACGACUAUAGGAUCAAAUUCACUCUUCAAGAAAUUGCUCGUCCCAUACCUUCUGCUUGUCUCAUAUGUGUGGAACCUGGUCUUUUUCGGUUCCAGCCUCUCCCUCGAAUACAUAGGGUAGGUAGGGCUGGGUGAGAAAUGGUUCCCUCUUGCCAAUAAACUUUCCCUGACCUUCGAUUAACCUUACUCAUAAAUGGUGUUACGGUCGGGAGAACUACCUAACUAAAGAAAAAUAGUGUUCUUUCUAAGAGUAGGUGUGGAGAGCUUUUUGCGGGGAAACCUGCAAGUACAGUUUGGCGGGGAGGCGGGCGUCGACCCCUACCUUAUGAGUAUUCGGACUAUAACAGUUCCGAUGAACAGUCACUCACUUUUAACAGUUAUACGAUUCCAGAAGAUGAUCUAGAAUUGGGUCAAUCACGUUUAUUAGAAGUCGACAAUAGAGCGGUUCUACCAGCAAAGAGCCAUAUACGUUUUAUUGUAACAUCUGCUGAUGUACCUCAUAGUUGGGCUGUACCUUCCUUAGGUGUCAAAUGUGAUGCUGUACCGGGUCGUUUAAAUCAGACCUCUAUUUCGGUACAACGAGAAGGAGUUUACUAUUGGAUUUGAACCAAUAACUCUCGUCGUAUGAAAGCGAUACCCUAACCGCUGAGUCAAGUAGGUCAAGCUGAGUCAAGUCACCCUAUAAGAGAAAGUCGUGCAACCAAAGUAGCCCUUACUAUACAAGGGGGCGGAGCGCUAAGAAAGAGAAAGCGUUAUCACUAUACGAAAUGAAGUAGCGGCUAGCACGCUAAGCUAAGAUCAACCAAUGUUCGAACGCGGACCCUUUCUUUCUCGGUCGUCUGUCUUAAUAAGCGCAUUCCAAUUCAUGCAGUCCUUCUCUGCUGCAUUGGUCUUUUUACUCCCCACUCUCCACCAUAAAAAAAUCUUUCCACUAUAUCUCCGGAGUAGUCAAAGGAAGUAUGGCGGGUCCGAGUAGGAAUAACCGACCCUGUAGCGCUAGCGCUUCGCGUUCUUUCUAUUCCAUCCCAUUCCGGGAUAGGCGGCUAAUACUAAAAUAAUAAGUGAAGUAGUCGUCGUCUGACCAAUCGGCUCGGACACCAGACCGCCCGUGCCCGCCUAUUUUGUCUCGCCAUAAAUGGAAUGGCUCUCUUAGUUACGCUGCGCCCCGACCCGAGUCCCCACAUCCGCUUUUCUCUGCCCGCAACCCAAUAAGUUGGCAAAGUCAACACAAGAUUAGGGUCAUCCCCUUCAUUCUAUGUUGACCCCGGCCCGGGCUGGCUUCUUGGUAAGCCCGUUCCCACCGCGCUCACGGCCCGGCUGGUCUUCCAGCGUUAGUGGGAAUUCUUCCGUUCCCUGGUCAAAGACUUGGUUGGAUGCGGGAUCUACUCCACGAGGAGCGGUACGGACGUAGAUGAUAUCAUCACGACCCCUCUUUUCGUACCGCUAGGGAUGCUUAAUGCCACUUCGCCAACUGGCAUUACCUACGCUUUCGUGUCUCUUAGUGUGGUCAGCACUGGGUGUUUUCGAGCAGCGAGGCUUACACCCAUUCGCAUUAGUUCAUCCAAAGUUCCUUACCCUUAUGCACGAAUUAUUGAAUAAUCCAUAUUCCUAUCAAGGUUAAGAAGGCAACUGAGCAUCUCAGCGGCGGGAUUGAAUACUCGGAUCGAAUCAGAGUUCAUGCCGCCCGCCCUGAACAAAUAGGAGGUGUGGGCCACAGGUCGCACAUAAGCCACCGGGUCGCACGACAGAAGAACAUCCAACAUAAAGAUGCACACUCCUCCAUGUGAAAUAUUCAUCUUCAUAGGAACUUUUUGAUAGUAGUCGUGACCAACAGCCAUCAGCUCUCGGCUUGUUGGUAAGGUGAGAGCUUCAAGCCCGAUUUCAGGUGGCGCACCCUCCACACAAGCACCGCCUGACGAAAGGGGGACAGGGAAAGCUACAGGCCCAAAACCUUCGACCCUUCUUUCUAAAUGGGGGUGCCCGAGGCACCUCAUCAUCUCAUUUCGUCGUUGCUCAUUCCCGUUAGGCCGAAGUGUUUGGCCUUUCCUUCUCCGCGCCCGCUCAGGCUUCGCUGACCUAUCGCGUGGUAAAAAGAAGAAAGUACGAAAGAAUAGUAAACGGAGCACACUGCAGAAAGAUUCUAAAUAUGACAAGUCCCCCUUGGAUUCGAGAAGAAGGAAAUGAAGAACGGGAACGAAACGAAAUAAAGCGUUUCUAGCUCUAGUUUCGGAUGAGCUUCUCCCAAUUAUGUCUGGUAAUAGAAUAGGGCGGCUUGCUCUGACCAAGACUCCACUUUUUGCUCCGUCCGCGGAGCGUAUGAAUUUCCUGGAAUGUAGAUAGACCAAAAGAGGGAAUGAAGGGAUAGGAAUAGGAAUUAUAGUACCAUUGGAAAAAAGGGCACCUGUGGGAACAUCUCUACUGACGAACCAUUUCAAUAGUACGGGUGCUGCCGUGCCACGAGGCACGACCACGGAAGUAAUGAAAAAGAAAAAGUUAUGUAGUUGGACCAUCUGUUCUAUCCGUUCGAGUUUUGCUUCUCUAGAGAAGAUGAGAGGCUAAAAAUGAAAGUGUUCGCAACACAUACCGAAAGGGUACUAAUUAAGCCGACCAUUAAUGACUAGUUAAAACACCAGGAGUGGUCUGAUCCCCUAUUUGAUCAGACCGCUCUGAGAAAGAGAAAAAGCAAACUCUCAUAGUUCGGAGCCCAGCUCCAACAACUUCUUCGUAAGUGAGGUGAGGUACUUCUUUUGGUUUGAAUAGGGGGUCGCCCUUUUUUUGGUUGAAGUAGCCACGACUUUGGUCGUAGUCAGUUUAACCCCAUAAACCCAGUCCACUUGCAGCCAUGUUGAUCAAAAUGACUAAGUUUAAUGACUUGACCAGUCACUAGCCCUCGUAUUAUAAGAUUCUCUCACCCUGUGGUCGACAUUCCAUUCCCCUUAGUCGUAGGUGCUCGUUCUAUUUUGAUUUGAAUGGGCCGGGGCUCCCGAGGUACAUAUGGCCGGCCCUUCGGGUGUCUCGGUGAUACAAACAAAGAAAAGACGAUGGUUUUUAACAUACCCUUGAACAAAAAGCCAAUCCUUACCAAAGGAGGAAAUAGAAUAGAAUAAUCUACCUUCUUUUUUCCUUCCCGUUGAUUCCCCCCGACAAUCAAGCUGCACUUCCUUCUAACAAGUGGCUGAGAGUUAGCAAGCAACCUUGGCCUCUUGGCAGGAGGUUCGCUGUCCCCCUCCUUUCCGGUCCGGCCGCAGUACGGCACCUGAACUCGAAGCUACGAUCAGAUCCGAUUGGAUCUGGUCCUAUCCGACCCAACCCCGGAACUUAGAACGGCCGGCCUGUUUGGACGGUAGAACGGGGAGAGGGGGAGUCGUGCCCAUUCUCUAUCCGGGCACGAGCAGGAACAUCAAAAAUAAUGGAAAGGCGAAUACAUGUACAUGAUGUAACGACAUAUUCCAAAAUACGUGAUCCGAUUUGAUAGGCUGCCCGCAGAAAGGAAAGAGUUUACCGACCGCAUAACAAUUCAUUCUUGAUCUCAGCCUGUGGUCGACAUUCCAUUCCCCUUAGUCGUAGGUGCUCGUUCUAUUUUGAUUUGAAUGGGCCGGGGCUCCCGAGGUACAUAUGGUCGGCCCUUCGGGUGUCUCGGUGAUACAAACAAAGAAAAAAUGAUGGUUUUUAACAUACCCUUGAACAAAAAGCCAAUCCUUACCAAAGGAGGAAAUAGAAUAGAAUAAUCUACUUUCUUUUUUCCUUCCCAUUGAUUCCCCCCGACAAUCAAGCUGCACUUCCUUCUAACAAGUGGCUGAGAGUUAGCAAGCAACCUUGGCCUCUUGGCAGGAGGUUCACUGUCCCCCUCCUUUCUGGUUCGGCCGCAGUACGGCACCUGAACUCGAAGCUACGAUCAGAUCCGAUUAGAUCUGGUCCUAUCCGACUCAACGCCGGAACAUAGAACGGCCGGCCUGUUUGGACAGUAGAACGGGGAGAAGGGGAGUCGUGCCCAUUCUCUAUCCGGGCACGAGCAGGAACAUCAAAAAUAAUGGAAAGGCGAAUACAUGUACAUGAUGUAACGACAUAUUCCAAAAUACGUGACCCGAUUUGAUAGGCUGCCCGCAGAAAGGAAAGAGUUUAUCGACCGCAUAACAAUUCAUUCUUGUGUGUAGUGCCGUGGGCCCAUGUCUCCCGAACGAUCAUAGUACGACCGCUCAUCUAAUAUAAAAUCAAUGAGUAGAUCUCACCUCCCCUUCCACAUACCAUAGCCGGAAGGGAUAGCGUAUCCACAGAAGAGAGAGUACGGGCCCUUGCCCACCAUUUAGUUUAGACGCGGCUCGGAUGCCUUUAUGCUAUAGGCUGUGUUAAGCAUGCUUCUUUGACAGAAAACAAACUCUUUUUCCAUGACAACAAUCGCGACUAUAAAAGGCGGGGCGGUAAGCUCUCUAUCAACAAUAGGGGGCUAUUCAUAGUAAUAAACUACUAGACUAUAUGGAUUACAACUGAACUUCAACUUCUACUUGGUUGAUUAAUUCAGGGGCAGUGCUGGAACAUAAUGUUGGACAAUCUCCAUUUCCAUAUGGUAAUUGAAGUCAAACAGGAGCAAACCAGGUGCAAUUCAAUCCUUAUUCCUAGCAAUGACUCCAAAAAAGCAAAACCUCACUAGACCAAGGCCCAUUGCUGUGGGGACUACACUAUGUAAGAGAAUGACUAAGGCAAUUGCCAAUAGUUUCUAUUGAAAGACAGACUAGCUCUUUAAAAACGGCGCCCUCCUAAUCUCAUUUUGAUAGGAAGAGAUAUUGAUAAUUAUCCCAAGGAGGCUUACUACUCAGUUGAUAGAUCAGGUGAGCCAGCCAUGAUCACUAAACUCACCAAAGCAGCAACAUAUGCAAAUUGGAAUCAUAGGUUUCUAUAUGCUUAAAGAAAAUGGGAUUUGCAGAGUAGGAUACGAAAGUGUAUUUAUAUACAAUGGAAAGCCCCUAUAAUCCAUGGACGACCAGUGGAGUUCAUAAAAGAAAGCAAAGAAAGGUCCGCGACAAAGUUGUCCCCUCUCUCCAUAUCUCUACUUACUGGCUGGGUGCAGAUAACACUGUAAUAAUAACAAAGCCAGAUAAAGAUACUGUUCGUUCAGAAUUGAUUCAGAUGGCGAGGACCCAUGGAAAAAUCCACCCUAUUCAUGCUCCACACAGCAACUUGCCCGGUCAAUAUUAUAUAUCUAUGCUAAAAUUGGUGAUCUAUUUUCGUUGCCCCCUUUAAGCGUAUGUGAUAUAAUCAUUCUUAUCUCAGAAGAGAGGUAUGCAUUGUCCCCACUUAAGUUAUUAAGUAUUCCUAAAGACGAGGCGAUUUAUUUUUAUGUUGAAACUUUAUGUCAGCCAAGGGACCCUGAUCAUAAAUGGGUUGUUUAUCCCGGUGAAAGGGACGCUCUCCUUUUAAUUGCUCUAACGCAUAUGUUGAAUAGUUGUUUUAUGCGUUCAUCUAUCUUUCAGGAGCAGUCGUGUGGUUUUCCCAGAGAUCGCCGUGAGUUCUUUGCCAAAUUAGGUGGAGUGGGGAAGAUUAUAACUAUUUUCAUCUUGAAUCUAGCACCCUCAAAAGGUACUAUUCCUCAUAAAAGAAUUUUACGAAAGCUGGCACCCUUGGUGCGUGAUAGCUACAUAAUAUCCUUAGUUUCAUCCUUUUUAAAGAUACCAAUGACCAAAAUGGAAUUAAUUGUUCUAUUACGGAAGUUGGGAUCCCACACACUGGGUUAAUCACUAAGGUCUUAUACAAUUUGAUGUUGGAUGAUUUCGACCGGGGAUUUAAACACCUAUACCCUAGUCUUUCUUAUUAUCGUUACUUGGGUUACUGUUACGUAUUAUUUACAUUGUUUAGUCUCCAAAGCGAGCAGCAGUGUGAAGAAGAAAUGAAUAGUAUCCUCUUAGAGUUAGAUCUUGAUGGGGAUAUCACAACUAUUCUACCUGGUGGGGGUGCCCAUGUGACUCGUGAUGGGCGUUUGAUUAUUCUAAGUCGAGAUUGCGGUCUUCACGUUGUCGAACAGUCAACAUUCUUUCUUUAGUUCAAUUUGUAGUCAAUAUGUUUUAUACAAAAACGAACCCAUGCAACGUAGGGGAAAGAAAGGACGGAUUGAUCGACCAACUUGAACAGAUCCAUAACCUGCUUCCAUCUGUCCUGAAUGAGGGAAUUAAGGCGGGUAUAGUCGAACUGAACUGCUUGAUUCUAAGGUGGGUGAUAAGCAGUUGUAUCCGUAUCAAGCCUACCAUCUCUUCUCACGAAAGACUUUCCAUCCCAUCUCUGAAAGUUUUGCAAUAUAGGUGGCCCUGCUUCAAAGCCCCAGAAAACCCCCCUUACUCUCUCCCUAUAAAAAAAAGACCUUUCCCCUUUCCUUACAGUCAAGUGGCCCAAGGCCCCCCGUUCUUUAAUAAUAUAAGGUAAGAUUUGAAAAGUAACACGCUCCCGACAAACAAUUAAUCCGUAAUAUCAUCCAUCGUUGGCAUUAUUGGAAAAAAAUUACCCAACUCUUAUUCAAUCAAAGCCCAUCUACACACUCCAGUUGCUUCCUUUUGAGCAAGUCAAGCAGGCGUUGAGCACGAACUGAGACUCUCCCGCCCCUUUGACAACAAUUCCUGCACUUGACAUCGGAUCUCCUCAUUGGAAAAUGGGGAUAAGCGAGAAGCCGUUUUGUAGGGUAGACUCGCUCCUACCUUUAACUAAAUCUACUUCUAUAUCCUUCCAUCGUGCUAUGAGCGGUCAAUUCCGAAGAAAUGGUAAGAUAUGGGUAAGAGUUCUCACAGAUAUCCCUAUUACCGGGAAACCUACAGAAGUAAGAAUGGGAAGAGGAAAAGGAAAUCCUACGGGUUGGAUUGCUCGUGUGUCCAGGGGACAAAUCCUAUUUGAAAUGGAUGGUGUGAGUUUGUCAAAUGCUCGACAAGUCGCUACAUUAGCGGCGCAUAAACUAUGUUCGUCAACAAAGUUUGUUCGGUGGUCGUAAGCUUAUUAAUCUAACCCCAAAUUGGUACACGCCAAUUCCAUUCGCCGGAUUGAAAGAGCCAUCAAUCACUAUGAUCUCUUUCUUAGAAAAGAAACUGCGUAAAUUAUGCCUUUUUUGAUCCCACACUUUCCGUUGAUCAACAACCAACUAAAUCUAUACUUCUUCACUACUCGUACAGGGAAGGUGGAAUAAAUUCAGUCUCUCUUUUUUUGGGGGGGAGCAGAGCAGUCAAAAAAUGAACCAAACCAAAUGAUUGUUCUAGAAUGGUAAUUCCUCACAAUUGCUCCUUGAGAUGCAGCGGAACCAUGGCAAUUAGGAUCUCAAGACGCAGCAACACCUAUAAUGCAAGGAAUAAUAGACUUACAUCACGAUGUCUUUUUCUUCGUUAUUCUGAUUUUGGUUUUCGUAUCAUGGAUCUUGG